UACAGAGGGGGCAAGCGUUGUUCGGAAUUACUGGGCGUAAAGGGCGCGUAGGCGGCCUGUUAAGUCGAACGUGAAAUCCCCGGGCUCAACCCAGGAACUGCGUCCGAUACUGGCAGGCUUGAAUCCGGGAGAGGGAUGUGGAAUUCCAGGUGUAGCGGUGAAAUGCGUAGAUAUCUGGAGGAACACCGGUGGCGAAGGCGGCAUCCUGGACCGGUAUUGACGCUGAGGCGCGAAAGCCAGGGGAGCAAACGGG
rnacentral:rRNA from 1 species